rnacentral:rRNA from 1 species
CGGAUAAGCCCUUACGGGGAAAGAUUUAUCGCCGAAAGAUCGGCCCGCGUCUGAUUAGCUAGUUGGUGAGGUAAUGGCUCACCAAGGCGACGAUCAGUAGCUGGUCUGAGAGGAUGAUCAGCCACAUUGGGACUGAGACACGGCCCAAACUCCUACGGGAGGCAGCAGUGGGGAAUAUUGGACAAUGGGCGCAAGCCUGAUCCAGCCAUGCCGCGUGAGUGAUGAAGGCCCUAGGGUUGUAAAGCUCUUUUGUGCGGGAAGAUAAUGACGGUACCGCAAGAAUAAGCCCCGGCUAACUUCGUGCCAGCAGCCGCGGUAAUACGAAGGGGGCUAGCGUUGCUCGGAAUCACUGGGCGUAAAGGGUGCGUAGGCGGGUCUUUAAGUCAGGGGUGAAAUCCUGGAGCUCAACUCCAGAACUGCCUUUGAUACUGAAGAUCUUGAGUUCGGGAGAGGUGAGUGGAACUGCGAGUGUAGAGGUGAAAUUCGUAGAUAUUCGCAAGAACACCCAGUGGCGAAGGCGGCUCACUGGCCCGAUACUGACGCUGAGGCACGAAAGCGUGGGGAGCAAACAGGAU